CACAGAGCUGUGGUUUCCCUUCGGGGACGGAACACAGGCUGCUGCAUGUGCUGUCGUCAGCUCGUGUCGUGAGAUGUUGGGUUAAGGUCUCCCGGNCAAGGGAGGCGCAACCCUCGCCCCUUAGUUGCCAGCAUUUAGUUGGGCACUCUAAGGGGACUGCCGGUGAUAAGCCUGAGAGGAAGUGUGGGGAUGACUGUCAAGUCCUCAUGGCCCUUACUGGGCUGGUGCUACACACUGUGCUACAAUGGUGGUGACAUGUGGGCAGCGAAGGAGCGAUCCCGAGCUAAUCUCCAAAAUGCCAUCUCAGUUCUGGAUUGCACUCUGCAACUCGAGUGCAUGAAGUUGGAAUCGCUAGUAAUCUGCUGGAUCAGCACGCCGCGGUGAAUACGUUCCCGGG
rnacentral:rRNA from 1 species